GAGAUGUCAGAGUGGUCGAAUGUGCCUGCUUUAUAACCAGGUUGACGGAAACGUCACACGGGUUCGAAUCCCGUUCUCA
rnacentral:tRNA from 1 species